GGAUCUGCAAGGAGGAAUGGCAGAGGAUCCCCAAAUCCAGACAGAGACUGGAACUUCUGAGCACUGUCACCUUGUCUGCUUUAGGACUGUCAUAGCCCAGCAAUCAGAUGCAUCAGAACAAGUAAAUUGCUUUAACAUUAAUGAUUAUGCAAUAUCAGUAUUGUAAUCAAACUUGACCCAUCUGAUGUAAUUGUUCAUGCCAGAGAUUUAACAACAUUGUCAGCCAGGGGCAUAUUUAACAGGAGACACACUUCACCUGGCUUGAUAGUGACUUCAGUAUGUGUGGUUGACCCUCUUGUUUUUUCUGGGUAUAACAAUUAUGCUAAGUAAUCUCACUCUCUUCCAUUUCCCUAACAUGAAACUUUUGACUGAAACAUGAAAAUGUAUU